CCUACGGGCUGCAGCAGUGGGGAAUAUUGGGCAAUGGUCGCGAGACUGACCCAGCAACGCCGCGUGAGGGAAGAAGGCUCUCGGGUUGUAAACUUCUUUUAUCAAGGACACAACGGGUGACGGUACCUGAUGAAUAAGCCACGGCUAACUACGUGCCAGCAGCCGCGGUAAUACGUAGGUGGCAAGCGUUAUCCGGAUUUACUGGUUGUAAAGGGCGUGUAGGCGGGAAAGCAAGUCAGCUGUGAAAACCAUGGGCUCAACCUGUGGCCUGCAUUGGAAACUGUUUUUCUUGAGUCCUGGAGAGGCAGACGGAAUUCCUAGUGUAGCGGUGAAAUGCGUAGAUAUUAGGAGGAACACCAGUGGCGAAGGCGGUCUGCUGGACAGCAACUGACGCUGAGGCGCGAAAGCGCGGGGAGCGAACAGGAUUAGAUACCCUGGUAGUC
rnacentral:rRNA from 1 species